AAUUUGAAAUCUGGCCCUUUCGGGGUCCGAGUUGUAAUUUGUAGAGAGUGCUUCGGGGGAGACUGCGGUCUAAGUCCAUUGGAACAUGGCGUCCCAGAGGGUGAGAAUCCCGUAUGUGACCGCGGCUCGAGCCCAUGUGAAGCCUCUUCGACGAGUCGAGUUGUUUGGGAAUGCAGCUCUAAAUGGGUGGUAAAUUUCAUCUAAAGCUAAAUACUGGCUGGAGACCGAUAGCGCACAAGUAGAGUGAUCGAAAGAUGAAAAGCACUUUGGAAAGAGAGUUAAACAGUACGUGAAAUUGUUGAAAGGGAAGCGCUUGCAACCAGACCUGCCCGUAGGCGAUCAACCGCUGUUCUCAGCGGUGCACUCGUUCUGCGAUCAGGCCAGCAUCGGUUCUGGCGGUCGGAUAAAGGCCUUGGGAAUGUAGCUCCCCUUCGGGGGAGUCUUAUAGCCCUCGGUGCAAUGCGGCCAGCCGGGACCGAGGACCGCGCUUCGGCUAGGAUGCUGGCGUAAUGGUUGUAAGCGACCC
rnacentral:rRNA from 1 species